UCUGUGUGAUGGUGCAGACCUCUAAUCCUCACUACCUGGGGAGGCUGAGGCUGGUAGAUCAUUUGACCAAGGAAGUUCUGAACUUCAAUCAGUGCUAAAGCCGAUCUGGUGUCUGCACUAAGUCUGGCACCAAUAUGGUGUGCUCCUGGGAGCAGGGGUGAGGAUACCAGGCUGCCAAAGGAGGGCAAACUGGCCCGAGCUGGAAAUGGUGCAGGUCAAAGCUUCCAUGCCAAUUAGCAAUGGGAUUGGCUCCUGAGAGGCUGCUGCACUUCCAGCCUGGGAGAGAUAGGGAGAGACUCAGUCUCA
rnacentral:SRP_RNA from 1 species